rfam:Strongyloides venezuelensis genome assembly, scaffold: SVE_scaffold0000091
GGUCUUGUAGCGUAAUCGCUAACGCAUCUGUCUUUGGAGCAGAAAAUUACAUGUUCGAGUUCUGUCAAGAUCU